AGGCAGGAGCUGAACGUGAAUAUUACUCAGAUGUCUGCCGGGAAGGAGAGCAUUCUACAAGCAGUGGGUGAUGUCCUCAGCAACAACGGGAUCCAGGAGGAGAAGAGAGGGGAAAUUCUGCAGCUGACAAGAGAUGCAAUCAAGGUGAUUGAAAACUACAUCUGGAUGCUCGAUUGGGCUCUGAAAACCACAGCUGCUGGGCUUUCCAAGGAUCUCAGGGCCAUGUGGUCAUCCGGCUGCCAGAGAAAAUCCAGCCCAGAGCUUUCACCAUCUGGCACAUCUCCAGGGCAGUCUCUCCGUGUGGGGAAGUCAGCAGCGCCCCCGAAGAGUUUGCUGUCUCAGUAAGUCUCUGCCUGCUUCUUCUUCUGGAGGGACCCCGGGCCCGAGGAAGAGCUUUGCCAGAGAUGUCCUUCUGGUGGUGAGAUCUCCCAGAGACCUGUGGUGGGCUGCUGCAGAGCACUGCAUCCUGCCAAAGGGCAUGGAGAUGCUCGGGGUGGUUACACCUUGCGUUUCUUCUGGAUCGUGGACAGGAGCCUCAGCAUGCUCACCCAGCAUGCUCAGGGUGUCAGGAACUAAGAGCCAAAUGCCACACGGAGCAGCAGCCCUGGUGUCCAUCAGAGCUGCCUCUCACUGCCCAGUGAGUGCUCCCUCUCUGCUGCCUUUGAGUCGUGGCUGCUGCUUCCCUGGAGCUAUAGCUGUGGGCAGCAGCGGCCCGCUUUGGAGAGUGCUGCUCUCCUUAGAGUUCUACAAUGUCCUCUUGUGUCCAGCUGCCCUGGACAAGCCUCUCAGGUUCCCUGAGAAGGGCAAGGGAGCAUUUCUGUGUGCUCAGGGAGGGACAGAUGAGAAGGAACAAGCCUUGCCCUCCGGCUGCCAUGCUCAGGACCUGCAGCCAGCACCCAGGUGGGGCUCUGCCUCCCUCCUCGCCUGCCCCCUCCUGUGAUGUCACCGCUGAUGCACUUGGUGACCUCAUGGUGCUGCUGGCCAGCACGUCUCCUGAAGGCCAGCCGGGUGCUGCAGAGGCAGUGACCCCGCACCACCACUCCAGCUACCUUCCCUCGGCCCCCCCUUCCCCUGCCCCCCUGCCCUGUCCAGUUCCUGCUGGGAUGAGCAGUCUGGGGAUGCGCUUCCUGUCCCAGACAGCCUCCUCCAGCUGCCGGCCAGUCAGGCUUCUGUGACAGGAGAGUCCCCACCAUCAGCACCACAAUUUCUGUUGCCUUUCCUGCUGCUCCUUAUCUUCUCCUUUGGCUCCUUGUCCCUCGGGACCACACAUUCUACA